CGCGCGGCCGUGCGUCUAACCCCCGCUCUACUCCUUCCUUCUCCACCGCCGCUCAUCCGCGCGCCCCGGCAACGCCCUUACCACGUGCCCCGGCCGCCGCCGCCGCCGCCCGCUGUCCGGUGAUCUCCCGGCUGCUCCCCGGCCACCGCUCGCACUACGGCGACCUCCCGGCUCGCCGCUCCUUCCACGCCCCUGCGACCUCCCGGCCGCUGCUGCGCGCCCCGGCGACCUGCCGGCCGCCCGUGGCUCGCCGCUCCUUCUGCGCUCCGGCGACCUUCAGCCUUCCGCCUCCCACCACUCCUUCCGACCUCUGGCGACCUCCCGACCAUAGGUUAAAACCGCCUCCUUGCACACUACCUCCAAUUUCUUGCUCGUCAGCCGCCUCCGAGAGCGCCACCAGAACAACCACGGCCACGCCGUCACCGAUCUAGAGUCACCUUGGUGAUCGCUGCCCCAAAGCCGAUCUCCCGUGCCUCCUCCAUCUUCUCUCCGUUGCCCACUGGCCGUCUCGAUGGUUUCGAUGCUUAUCCCUUCAGCUGCCAACUCCUCCGCAGUCGUCGACAUCAUCUUCUCGAGCACCUGAGGGAAGGGAUUUGCGCUGCUACAAUGCUGAGACCGAGCGGCAAGGUGGUUUCAAGCCAGCAGAGCUAUACGACAAGUUUUUUUCUUUGGUUGUCUUUCGAUCUCUUCUUCCUUCUGGUUUGAUUUUGACUGUGAUGGACGAGCAAGCUAUUUUGACUUCUCCUGCUCAUUUGAUUUUGAUUGCGAUGAAUGACUAAACUAUUUUUUCAUGCACAUGAGGUGUUCGAUUGAAUGCCGUAGUGUCAAAAUCUCGUGAAUAACACACUGCUAAUCCAACAUCGGCUUCGUUAACCCAGUAAAAUACAUUUCAAAAACCACUGAUGUAACAUUUUAAUUGUGUCCAAAGUUCCAAUAGAGCAAUCAAUUUUGAUCUUGUGAAGUAAAAAUAAAAGGUUCAGAACAAAUAAAAUUGGGUUGUUGGCUUAAAAAGUACAAUCUGAAUUCUGAACUUUAAAAAUUAUCCUUAAUUAGUUGAAUUAAUCUGUUUUUUUUUGACAAAAACUUGUUUCUCUAGAUUUUUUUUGUGAAACAUAAUUCUACACAUAAUAUCUUCAAUCAUCACACAAUUGGAAUGAUAUUUAUUUUCUAUGGGCCUAGGUGGUUAAUGCAUUGCAUGUUGACAGUGGUAAACACAACACACUGUUUUCUCCGUCUCACCAGGGAUAAUUCCCAUGAGGUUAUCUGAACUUAGUGUCACUGGGUAACCUAAGUAAAAUAAUAUGAAAGCACAAGCUCCAGGUUAACAAAACAUCAACUGCCUCCAUUCCAUUACGAUGCCUCUUGUGCAUGGAAAUCUUUUCAUUUUUUCUAGAAACUCUGAUGGCCAAGAAGGGGACAUUCAAAGAUGCAACAACGAUGCAAUUUAUAUGCUGAAUGCUCCAGUCCUAAAGACACUGCUUUCAGGGAGAUCCACAAGAGAGGCAGCAUUAGGCGCUCUUGUUGAUGGUUUUGAAAGUUUUGUGCUACUUGAUUUAGUGGAAAACAAACCAUAGUUUGCACACUACAUACUUCAGCAGGGUGCACUUUGAUCCCAAUGUUGUAGUUGCACAUGAAUUUAAGCGUUGUCUCAACAAGGAGCUUACGUAAGUUCUCCAUGAUAUUCAAAGGGGAAGUGGAUGCAUAUCUUUUGGAGAGGAUAUUUCUAGCUAUAUCCUUAACUAUUAGAAGUGCAAGAUUCACUACGAUUGAAUUAGAUGUGAUUCACUAUGAAAAAAAGUAGAUGUUGAUCUUUUGUCUAGAAGAGUUAGAGCUUGGAUGCUUGGUAGAUUAUGAUUCACCGUGUCAUUUCUUUAAGCAUAUGUUUGUAUUGUUCUAUCUAAUUUCAGUUGUAACUCUAUAAUGCCACCCUAUGUUGGCACAAUUUAUCUGUGGUUUGUGAAACUUUUAUGCCUAUAUGCAAUGCUGCUAUA